ensembl:miRNA
GUUCCUGAGCUAGAGGCAAUCCCACCACUACCACCAGUGCCACCUACAGGUCUGCACCUGUGUCUUUCUGGAGCUAUAGCCUGG